rnacentral:rRNA from 1 species
UACACGACCGUACCGCAAACCGACACUGGUGCGCGAGAUGAGUGUUCUAAGGCGCUUGAGAGAACUCAGGAGAAGGAACUCGGCAAAUUGACACCGUAACUUCGGAAGAAGGUGUGCCUUUAGUAGGUGAACCAUUUACUUGGGGAGCCCAAUGAGGCUGCAAAAAAUCGGUGGCUGCAACUGUUUAUUAAAAACACAGCACUCUGCUAAGACGAAAGUCGACGUAUAGGGUGUGACGCCUGCCCGGUGCUGGAAGAUUAAAUGAUGGGGUGCAAGCUCUUGAUUGAAGUCCCAGUAAACGGCGGCCGUAACGAUAACGGUCCUAAGGUAGCGAAAUUCCUUGUCGGGUAAGUUCCGACCUGCACGAAUGGCGUAAUGAUGGCCACACUGUCUCCUCCUGAGACUCAGCGAAGUUGAAAUGUUUGUGAUGAUGCAAUCUCCCCGCGGAAAGACGGAAAGACCCCAUGAACCUUUACUGUAGCUUUGUAUUGGACUUUGAACAGAUCUGUGUAGGAUAGGUGGGAGGCUUUGAAGUGUGGUCGCUAGAUCGCAUGGAGCCAACGUUGAAAUACCACCCUGGUGUGUUUGAGGUUCUAACCUAGGUCCAUUAUCUGGAUCGGGGACAGUGCAUGGUAGGCAGUUUGACUGGGGCGGUCUCCUCCCAAAGUGUAACGGAGGAGUUCGAAGGUACGCUAGGUACGGUCGGACAUCGUGCUAAUAGUGCAAUGGCAUAAGCGUGCUUAACUGCGAGACUGACAAGUCGAGCAGAUGCGAAAGCAGGACAUAGUGAUCCGGUGGUUCUGUAUGGAAGGGCCAUCGCUCAACGGAUAAAAGGUACUCUGGGGAUAACAGGCUGAUACCGCCCAAGAGUUCAUAUCGACGGCGGUGUUUGGCACCUCGAUGUCGGCUCAUCUCAUCCUGGGGCUGUAGCCGGUCCCAAGGGUAUGGCUGUUCGCCAUUUAAAGAGGUACGUGAGCUGGGUUUAAAACGUCGUGAGACAGUUUGGUCCCUAUCUUCCGUGGGCGCUGCAGAUUUGAGGAAGCCUGCUCCUAGUACGAGAGGACCGGAGUGGACGAACCUCUGGUGUAUCGGUUGUCACGCCAGUGGCAUUGCCGAGUAGCUAAGUUCAGAAGAGAUAACCGCUGAAAGCAUCUAAGCGGGAAACUCGUUUCAAGAUUAGAUCUGCCGGGGCCUUGAGCCCCCUAAAGAGUCGUUCAAGACCAGGACGUUGAUAGGUCAGGUGUGGAAGCG